GGGUAAGUCUACACCACUGUUAAAGGCCCAAUUUCAUCUGAUCCUGGAAGAUAAGCAGAGUCAGGCUGUUCAGUACCUGAAUAGGAGAAAGAAACUGGGAGGAGGCUUCCCUU
rnacentral:rRNA from 1 species